UGCAUCAAUAGUGUAACGGUAGCACAAUAGUCUCCAAAACUGUUAGCGAUGGUUCGAGUCCUUCUUGAUGUGUAUA
rnacentral:tRNA from 1 species